rnacentral:rRNA from 1 species
CUAUAUACCGCCGUCGUCAGCUUACCCUGUGAAGGAUAUAUAGUAAGCAAAAUUGGUACAACCCUAAACGCCAGGUCGAGGUGUAGCGUAUGGAAGGGGAAGAAAUGGGCUACAUU